GACGAACGCUGGCGGCGUGCCUAACACAUGCAAGCCGAACGGAAAGGCCCCUUCCGGGGUACUCGGGUGGUGAACGGGUGAGUAAGACGUGCGUAACCUGCCCUUAACUUUGGGAUAACUUUAGGAAAGUGGGGCCAAUACCGGAAAGGAAUCCUAUCUGCAUGGGGGGGGUUGGAAAGUUUCGGCGGGUUUGGCUGGACUCGCGGCAUAUCUGCUUGUUGGAGGGGUUGUGGGUUACCAAGGCUUUGACGGGUAGCCGGCCUGAGUGGGCGACCGGCCACAUUGAGACUGAGAGACGGCCCAGGCUCCUACGGGAGGGAGCAGGGGGGAAGAUUGAACGAUGGGCGGAGGCCUGAUGCAGCAGGGCCGCGGGCGGGAUAACGGCCUUAGGGUUGUAGAACGCAUUCAGAAGGGGCGAAGCUUGUGGUGACGGUACCUGCAGAAGAAGCACCGGCUAACUACGUG
rnacentral:rRNA from 1 species